UACGAAGGGGGCCAGCGUUGUUCGGAAUCACUGGGCGUAAAGGGCGCGUAGGCGGCUUUGUAAGUCGGGGGUGAAAGCCUGUGGCUCAACCACAGAAUUGCCUUCGAUACUGUAGAGCUUGAGACCGGAAGAGGUUAGUGGAACUGCGAGUGUAGAGGUGAAAUUCGUAGAUAUUCGCAAGAACACCGGUGGCGAAGGCGGCCCACUGGAUCGGUACUGACGCUGAGGUGCGAAAGCGUGGGAGCAAACAGGAUUGAGAAACCC
rnacentral:rRNA from 1 species